UACGUAGGGUGCGAGCGUUAAUCGGAAUUACUGGGCGUAAAGCGUGCGCAGGCGGUUUUGUAAGUCAGAUGUGAAAUCCCCGGGCUUAACCUGGGAACUGCAUUUGUGACUGCAUGGCUGGAGUGCGGCAGAGGGGGAUGGAAUUCCGCGUGUAGCAGUGAAAUGCGUAGAGAUGUGGAGGAAUACCGAUGGCGAAGGCAGCCUCCUGGGCCAACACUGACGCUCAUGCACGAAAGCGUGGGGAGCAAACAGG
rnacentral:rRNA from 1 species